rnacentral:misc_RNA from 1 species
UAACCGUAGGUGAACCAGCGGAGGGAUCAUUACCGAGUUUUUCUACUUCAAAACCCCUGUGAACUUAUACCUUUACUGUUGCUUCGGCGGGUUAACGCCGCGGAAGGCCCAAAAAGCCGCCGGAACCAGGCGCCCGCCGGGGGACCCAAACUCUUGUGUUUCUUACUUUGCAUGUCUGAGUGGAAUCAUAAACAAAUGAAUCAAAACUUUCAACAACGGAUCUCUUGGUUCUGGCAUCGAUGAGGAACGCAGG